CUGGCUCAGGAUGAACGCUGGCGGCGUGCUUAACACAUGCAAGUCGAACGGAGCAACUACCUUGCUUGCAAGAGAGUUGACUUAGUGGCGGACGGGUGAGUAACGCGUGGGUAACCUGCCUCAUACAGGGGGAUAACAGUUGGAAACGACUGCUAAGACCGCAUAACCCGCUAGUGUCGCAUGACACGGACGGAAAAUAUUUAUAGGUAUGAGAUGGGCCCGCGUCUGAUUAGCUAGUUGGUAAGGUAACGGCUUACCAAGGCGACGAUCAGUAGCCGACUUGAGAGAGUGAUCGGCCACAUUGGGACUGAGACACGGCCCAAACUCCUACGGGAGGCAGCAGUGGGGAAUAUUGGACAAUGGGGGAAACCCUGAUCCAGCCGACGCCGCGUGAGUGAAGAAGUAUUUCGGUAUGUAAAGCUCUAUCAGCAGGGAAGAUAAUGACAGUACCUGACUAAGAAGCCCCGGCUAACUACGUGCCAGCCGCCGC
rnacentral:rRNA from 1 species